rnacentral:lncRNA from 1 species
UGUGGGAUUUACGGGGGGAGUUGGAAGAUCAGGGCAUAGUUUUUUUAAAUUUUGUGAUUGUUAAGUGGCUGCACAAAUCUAAAAUGGUAAUUUUGGCAGUUCACAGUAUUUUAAAUUUUGUUCUCCUUUUUGUAAUUGAUUUGAGUCGUCAGGCAUAAUUAUUAUUAUUUGUUGAUCUACUCCUUAUAUGAAGCAUAGUUUGAGAUCUGAAAAUAGUUUAAAAAUA